UGGACAGAUCAAACAACCAACUACCUAAUAAGCACACAAUGACAAAAAGAAUCAUAAUUUUAGCUGGCAAAAAAUGUCAAAGGAACUUUGAAAUGACAAAUAUUAAGAUUGCAUCUGGCAGCCCUGCAUUCAGUUUCGAAUGCACACAGACAACAUGUGGAGACACAGAAAUGGGAAAGCGCUACAGAAUUUCGUAUCCGAAGUAUAAGGCGGGCCCCCAUGUCGUAAAACCUGUUAAAGAAGCCUGCAAUUAUGAUUAUGUCACCGAGCUCAUGGCUGAAUUGCUGCAAUUAAAAGAACAAUCAAGAGCAGCCAGACUGCGAGACAGGCUUCUUCCGUUCUGUUCUCUCCUCCUCAUUUGGCAUCUUCUGCGAAGAAAAUUUUAAAGACUGAAGCAGUGCAGUUGCACCGCUCUAGGUUCAAUUAGUUUCAGAAAUUUGAACCAACUUGACAUGCCAUUUUCCAUGCAGCUAGGCCUAAACGGAGAGGCGCAGCACCCUGCCACCCCAAGGUCUCCUCCCUGGACCCAGAA